AUUGAACGCUGGCGGCAUGCCUUACACAUGCAAGUCGAACGGCAGCACGGGUGCUUGCACCUGGUGGCGAGUGGCGAACGGGUGAGUAAUACAUCGGAACGUACCUUAUCGUGGGGGAUAACGCAGCGAAAGCUGUGCUAAUACCGCAUCCGCCCUGAGGGGGAAAGCGGGGGAUCGCAAGACCUCGCGCGAUUAGAGCGGCCGAUGCCGGAUUAGCUUGUUGGUGGGGUAAAAGCCCACCAAGGCGACGAUCAGUAGCUGGUCUGAGAGGACGAUCAGCCACACUGGGACUGAGACACGGCCCAGACUCCUACGGGAGGCAGCAGUGGGGAAUUUUGGACAAUGGGGGCAACCCUGAUCCAGCAAUGCCGCGUGAGUGAAGAAGGCCUUCGGGUUGUAAAGCUCUUUUGUCAGGGAAGAAACACCGGCUCUAACACAGUCUGGGAAUGACGGUACCUGAAGAAUAAGCACCGGCUAACUACGUGCCAGCAGCCGCGGUAA
rnacentral:rRNA from 1 species